UUUGUCUUUAUGGCAAAUGUGAGAUGCAGUGUAUGGAAUGCCAAAUUUCUAGUAUGAGAAAUUAACGAUUUAAGUCCUUCUUAAAUGAGGCCAUUUACCCAUAGAGGGUGCCAGGCCCGUAUAACGUUAAUGAUUACUAGAUGACAUUUCCAAAGAGUCGUGUUGCUUGAUAGUGCAGCACUAAGCGGGUGGUAAACUCCAUCUAAAACUAAAUAUAACCAUGAGACCGAUAGUAAACAAGUACCGUGAGGGAAAGUUGAAAAGAACUCUGAAUAGAGAGUUAAAUAGUACGUGAAACUGCUUAGAGGUUAAGCCCGAUGAACCUGAAUAUCCAAUAUAGAAAAUUCAUCAUUAUGAUUUUAAUAUAUUUUAAUAAAAGUGUGCAUUUUUUCUAUAGAGGACAUUGUAAUCUAUUAAUAGAAAAAAUUUAUUAUAAGAUCAGCAAAAGUUUAUUCAAAUUAUUUUGCUUGCAAUUUAACAUAGAAUAAAUGCUUUUGAUUUGAUAAAGUGUUGAUAGAUUUAAUAUAUAGUGCUGGAAUAAUAUUCUAUAAUAGCAUAUUAAUUAUUAAUUUUUAUGUUUAUUAUAUGCACUUGUAUGAUUAACAAUGCGAAAGAUUCAGGAUACCUUCGGGACCCGUCUUGAAACACGGACCAAGGAGUCUAACAUAUUUGCAAGUUAUUGGGAAAAACCCAAUAGCGAAAUUAACAUAACACUUGGGAUUAGUUUUUAGUCUAGUCUAUUAAUUCAAUCCCGGGGCGUUCUAUACAGUUAUGUAUAAUAAUAUUUAUAUUAUUUAUACCUCUAACUAGAGCGUACCUUGAGCAUAUAUGCUGUGACCCGAAAGAUGGUGAACUAUACUUGAUCAGGUUGAAGUCAGGGGAAACCCUGAUGGAAGACCGAAACAGUUCUGACGUGCAAAUCGAUUGUCAGAAUUGAGUAUAGGGGCGAAAGACCAAUCGAACCAUCUAGUAGCUGGUUCCCUCCGAAGUUUCCCUCAGGAUAGCUGGUGCAUUUAAAAAUUAUGUAAAAUAAUCUUAUCUGGUAAAGCGAAUGAUUAGAGGCCUUAGGGUCGAAACGACCUUAACCUAUUCUCAAACUUUAAAUGGGUAAGAACCUCACCUUUCUUGGUAUGAAGGUCGUGGUUGUGAUAUAAUGUGCCCAGUGGGCCACUUUUGGUAAGCAGAACUGGCGCUGUGGGAUGAACCAAACGUAAUGUUACGGUGCCCAAAUUAACAACUCAUGCAGAUACCAUGAAAGGCGUU
rnacentral:rRNA from 1 species